NNGCAGGUUCAUGAUCAUUGCUUGGAAUUCAGUCCUGGUUGGAAUUCAGUCCUGGUUGGAAUUCAGUCCUGGUUUCCCUCACUUUGCCUCUGCUAAAACUUUUACCUCCAGUUUGGGAUCUGCACCCUCUCUCUUGCUCCACACAGCCAGGUGUGAGAAAUAUUGAUUGUACCACUCUCCCAACUCAAGAAUGCAGGGAGGAAAAAACCAACUUGGAAUGAUUCAUGGUGUCAAUGGAAAGGAGCUGACAAGGAAAGACACAGACUCCUCAAGAGCACAGAAAGGUGGUAAAGACCAGAAGAUUAACAGCACACUGAUGAAACAAGCAGAGAAACUCCUGCCUCCAAGUUUAUCAAAACCAAAGACAUGUACACAACUACCUAUAAUGUAGGCCAGACCACAUAAAUGUUAAAGCGAUGCUUUAAAGUCUUCUGAAAAAUAAUGCCUUAACUAAAUAAAAUCACCCUAAAUCCAGAGUAUGGAUGAUGCUGUUAUUACUUAUUUCUACUGUCUUCCAUCUAUUUUAUGGUGUUCUUUGAUCCAUACUUUGCAUUAUUCUUGUCUGAAAGUAAUAUUCUUGAUAUGUGUAAUAAGGAGACCCCUCCUUUGUUCCUAGAUGCAGUGGCUGCUGAUCCACAAAGCCAUUGAAGGACUUAAUCCCUUAAGCUUGGCACUACAUCAGUCUGGAAGUAGUUUACAUGCAAGUCCUUUGGAGUAAAUACUCAUUAGAGGUUCUGUUGGCUCAUUUGGUCACCCACAUUUGCAGUGGGUGGCCCAGUUGGUAUCCUCAUUAUUUUAUUUUCCACCCUUGAAAAAAAUCCAGCUGUAGCAACCUGAGACUACUUUCCCUGGUACUCUAAAUCCAUUGUAAUGGAGCGUCCAUUCAUUUGUGAUGCUAGUUAAUAGGUACAAAAAAAU
rnacentral:lncRNA from 1 species